CGGGAAGCGCUGGUGGUGCCGGCGGUGCCGGCGAUGCCGGCGAUGGGCGCCGCCUCCCGUGUCACAGAGGCCGCCGAGUUCCGUCAAGUCUAAAUUUGUUGAAAUCUCUUGUUGGCCAAUGAUCAGCUCUUUCCAAGCUGAGUUUUCUUCACUGUUAUACAGGCCUAAAUGCUUUACUGUCUACCAUGUGCCGAGCACUUCUCCAGGCUCUGGAGGACAUGUAAAAAGUUCUGGAAGCUAGAAGUCUGAGAUAAAGGUGUCUGCAGACUUGAUUCCUUCUGAAGCAUCUCUCCUUGGAUUGUAGAUGUCCUUCUUUUCACUCCUUCUUCACAUGGUCUUUCCUCUCUGUGACUACCAUGAAGAUGCAUUGAAAAUUCUGCUACACUGGAGGAGUGAAGUAUCUCAUUCAGUUGGUGAUCUUCCUGUCAUGGAAGUUGCUUGCCAGCUCUCAUUCUGAAUGAACACAGUAAACACAAUGGUGAAAAUAUCAACUAAAAAAUAUCAAUUAAAAAAAUCUACUCUCCAUACCAUCUCUUCAGAUCAAGAGGAACUCUUCUCAAGGGGCUAUAUUUAAGGAACUAUACUCAAGAAGUUCAUCAAUACCUGGACCUCAAACCUCAGUCUGAUGUUAUGAGUAUCGGUAGGAGGGAAUGAGUAUAUUUUGCAUGUAGGAGGAAUGUGAACUGCUGUAGCCAGAAGGUGGACUGUGGUAUGUUAUAUUUUUGACAACUGGUCUCAGCAAUAUUUUUGGUCCCACAUGCUGUUUUAGAAACUUGCCACUUCCCAUCAAGAGACUGAGUUUACUUCCCCUGUCCUUGAACUUGGGCUGGACUUUGCACUGAUGGGUAGUAUUGGGGGAAGUGAUACUGUAUGACUUCCAAGGCUAGGUUAUAAAAGAUGGUACUGCUUCUGCCUCCUUCUCUCAGAAUGCUUACCUUUAGAAUCUAGCCACCCACUGUGGUGUGAGGAAGCCUAGGCCACAUAUUGAAGCCAUGUGUAGGUAUUCUGGCACCAGAUUCUCAUCUGACAGCAUCAACCACCAGAUACCUUAGUGAAUGAGGCUUUAUAUAAUUGCAGUCCCCAGCCUUUGAGCCCUCCCAGCUGAUGCUGAGUGGAGCAGAGAUGAGCAGUCCUCUCCAAGGCCUGUCCAAAUUGCAGGUUCAUGAACAAAAAAAUAUUGUUGCUUUAGGUCAAUACGAUUUAGGGUAAUUUUAAAAUAUAGUCUUAGUAACUGAAAUAAUUAGAAUGGUUUAUAGUUUUGGGUUUAUUUUUUAAUUAAGUUUUGGUAAUAAAGUUAUGCUGCCUUCAUGAAAUGAGACACAUUUUAUCUUUUUGUUUGGUAUGGAAUAGUUGAAAUAAUAGUGUAAUUAUUUGUUCCUUAACAGUUAGGUAGACUCAAAUUGAAAGGUUUUUUGUUUGUCUUGUUAUUAUCUAAAAUAAUAGUCACCUUUCCAAUCCCUUCUUUGGUAAGUAGUCAGUUUGGAUUUUCUACUUGGUUUACUUUGGUUUAUUUUUAUUUUCUAGGAAAUCAUACAUUUCUUCUAUUCCUAGUCUUGCUAAUGUUUGUUUUGUCUUACAUUUUUAAGCAGGAUCAUAAAGGGUUGUGUGUAUGUGUGUGUGUGUGUCUGUGU